rnacentral:rRNA from 1 species
GAUGAACGCUGGCGGCGUGCCUAAUACAUGCAAGUCGAGCGAACAGACGAGGCGCUUGCUCCUCUGACGUUACCGGCGGAUGGGUGAUUAACACGUGGAUCACCUACAUAUAAGACUGGGAUAACUUCGGGAAACCGGAGCUAAUACCGGAUAAUAUAUUGAACCGCAUGGUUCACUAAUGCAAAACGGUUUUGCUGUCACUUAUCGAUGGAUCCGCGCCGCAUUAGCUAGUUGGUAAGGUAACGGCUUACCAAGGCAACGAUGCGUAGCCGACCUGAGAGGGUGAUCGGCCACACUGGAACUGAGACACGGUCCAGACUCCUACGGGAGGCAGCAGUAGGGAAUCUUCCGCAAUGGGCGAAAGCCUGACGGAGCAACGCCGCGUGAGUGAUGAAGGUCUUCGGAUCGUAAAACACUGUUAUUAGGGAAGAAGAAAUGUGUAAGUAACUCUGCACGUUUUGACGGUACCUAAUCAGAAAGCCACGGCUAACUACGUG